rnacentral:rRNA from 1 species
CCUACGGGAGGCAGCAGUGAGGAAUAUUGGUCAAUGGGCGAGAUCCUGAACCAGCCAAGCAGCGUGCGGGAAGACGGCCCUACGGGUUGUAAACCUCUUUUGUCCGGGAACAACACCCCUGACGUGUAGCGGAUUGCGUGUAUCGGAAGAAAAAGCAUCGGCUAAUUCCGUGCCAGCAGCCGCGGUAAUACGGAGGAUGGGUGCGUUAUCCGGAUUUAUUGGGUUUAAAGGGUGCGUAGGCGGUAGGUUAAGCGGGCGGUAAAAUUUCGGGGCUCAACCCGGGCGUGCCGCUGAAACUGGCAUGCUUGAGUCUGCGUGAAGCAGGCGGAAUGCGUGGUGUAGCGGUGAAAUGCUUAGAUAUGGCGAAGAACCCCGAUUGCGAAGGCAGCUUGCUGGAGCCAGACUGACGCUGAUGCACGAAAGCGCGGGGAUCGAACAGGAUUAGAUACCCGUGUAGUC